GAGCCUCCCUCCACCUUUGCUCCAGUCCCGUAAGAGGCUCCCGGUUGCCACCUCCUGGGCAGCCCUCGCCACCGUCCCCGCUCCUGCUUCCGCACCCGCUCCGGGCCGCUCUGCGGAGAUGGAAGCAGCCUCGACGCUGCGAUGAGGGCUGCUCGGUGCCUAUUUCACUGCGGUAAUGGGGCUGAUGUGGGUAUUUAGGAGGGUUUCCUAAGUCUGUACGCAGUGGGAGCGGCCAUGGCUAUGCCACAGAGCGAUAGCCAUGCUGUUUUAUCUGGCAGAAGUACUGGUUUUCUUUCAGUAAGUCCCUCAGCAUCAAUAGACAGUGCCUGCUUUUCAAUAGAAAAAUAAUCAUAGGAGAGGAACUGAACCAGGAUUCUCUUUCUAUGUAGGAAAGAUUUUAGUUUCCUCCCCAAAGCACAUAAAUAACUUGGUUUUUGUUGUAUCUCUCCUGCCAUUCAUCAAGGAUGUUACCCCCACCCAUACACAGCUUUUCCACCCCUCCCCAUAUAAUACAGAUGGCGUUUUUCCUCCACUUGCUGUAAGGCUGCAUUCCUCCUGCUCUCUUCCUCCUCCUCCCCAAGGAAGGCUAAAGAAAGGACUUCAUCAGGAUGGCUAUUGAAGCUAGGGGAUCUCCACCCUUGGAGUUGUUCCAGACUCACCAAGACACGGCCAUGAGCAACUUAUCUACCCCUGGAGUCUGCCCUCCUGAGGUCCUUUACAUCUACAUUUUUGUGUGUCGGCUGAUGAGCAUCAGAAGUUGAGAUAUGCCAGAUGACGGCGGUCAGAAGUCACAGUUUCUACUUUCAUCUUGAUGGAAAUAUAAGGAAACCAAUGCAGCAGCUUUAAAUAAUUCUGUGUUGAUCUUUUGUGCUGAGAUGACCGUGAUUGCAAGCAUGUCUGUGAUCACAGAAGUGAGACCAUGAAUGGAUCAAAGCUCUUCAUCCUCAGAAGUCAUUGCAGCAUUUCCUUUUAGGUAAGGUGCUGUGUUAGAGACCUUUAUUUGUUUG
rnacentral:lncRNA from 14 species